AUACUGUGAACUGCGAAUGGCUCAUCAAUUCUUACAGUGGGCCAUUCAAUUAAUUCAGCGGGUCGUUCCCGUAACAUUGCCUAAGUGUGAGGAUCGUUGGGCGUUUCGCCCGCGAAACCCGCAGCCAGCCCUGGUGACAGGGCCUGGUUCAACGACUACGGAGCAUGUGGCCGCGGUUGCGGUUAAGAUAUAGUCUCUCGUCGGAGAAAUUCGAUCGACCACGGCAUUAAAUCAGUUAUCGUUUAUUUGAUAGUACCUUACUACAUGGGAUAACCGUGGUAAUUCUAGAGCUAAUACAUGCUAAAAACCUCGCCUUCGGAANGGGUGUAUUUAUUAGAUAAAAAACCAAUGCCCUUCGGGGCUCUCGGUUGAUUCAUAAUAACUUCACGAAUCGCAUGGCCUUGUGCCGGCUAUGGUUCAUUCAAAUUUCUGCCCUAUCAACUUUCGAUUGUAAGGUAGUGGCCUACAAUGGUUGCAACGGUUAACGGGGUAUAAGGUAUGUUUUAUGACGUUCUUCGCCGGGGGCUUUUGCUGAUGAUAAAUUUCUUGCAGGGUACCACUCCGGAGAGGGAGCCUGAUAAACGGGURCCACAUCCAAGGAAGGCAGCAGGCGCGCARAUUACCCAAUCCCGACACGGGGAGGUAGUAAGUAAACACCUUUUGAAAGGCUUGACCAACAGCUAACCGCAUAUUAGGUGACAAUAAAUACUGAUACAGGGCUCUUUUGGGUCUUGUAAUUGGAAUGAGAACGACGUAAACACCCUAUCGAGGAACAAUUGGAGGGCAAGUCUGGUGGAUACGUUUUGUGUCCCAGCGGAGAGUAAUUUUAGUUGCUCCUGCUGGCGCCAGUUAUAAAUUUUCUCUGAGAAUGUUUUCGAGAAGACUUAGUGGGGGUUGUUGCCCCUGCAAGGUUUCCGGCACGGGGAAGGGUCUCGGCUGCGGCGAGCCUUAUCUCGUGACUGGUGGCUCAAAGGUCCCAGUCUUAACGCGCGCUAGGUUACCGGUGUAUUACAUUUUGUGAUGCAUUUGAGGUACGUGCUAAUCCCGCCGUAAUGGUAUCGACUUCGGAAUUCCAGGGAGUCGAGUGGGGACUGUUUUAUGGCCAGCAGCCGCGGUAAUUCCAGCUCCAAUAGCGUAUAUUAAAGUUGUUGCAGUUAAAAAGCUCGUAGUUGAAACUUGGGCCUGGCUGUCCGGUCCGCCUCACCGCGUGCACUGGUUCGGCCGGGCCUUUCCUUCUGGGGAGCCGCAUGCCCUUCAUUGGGUGUGCCGGGGAACCAGGACUUUUACUUUGAAAAAAUUAGAGUGUUCAAAGCAGGCAUUUGCUCGGAUACAUUAGCAUGGAAUAAUAGAAUAGGACGUGUGGUUCUAUUUUGUUGGUUUCUAGGACCGCCGUAAUGAUUAAUAGGGAUAGUCGGGGGCGUCUGGUAAGCUUGAAAUCGAACCUUUAUCAAAGGCACAUGCUAACUGCUGCGCAGUAUUCAAUUGUCANAGGUGAAAUUCUUGGAUUUAUUGAAGACAAACUACUGCGAAAGCAUUCGCCAAGGAUGUUUUCAUUAAUCAGGGAACGAAAGUUAGGGGAUCGAAGACGAUAGCCAAGGUGUCUGGUCGUCUASAGAAGAACUAGUCGGGGCCGUUACGGCACCGGCCACGCUGACAAACUGAUGGGGCUGCCGAAGAUUAACGUCGGUCGACCCACAGCCAAGCUCCUCGGAGUCCAGUCUACAGACUGAAUGUCGGUGGGCGAUUUGCUUCAAAAAUCGCCUCUAAUAUAGUCGAGUCUCGUUGAUUGCUCGGUGAGAAAAGUACGCAGAUACCGUCGUAGUCUUAACCAUAAACUAUGCCGACUAGGGAUCGGGCGGUGUUAUUAUUUUGACCCGCUCGGCACCUUACGAGAAAUCAAAGUCUUUGGGUUCUGGUGAGCCGAUCACUCGUUUCAUUUUACAUCAGUAAAGCUUGCUAACGUUUUUUUAAUAGGGGGGAGUAUGGUCGCAAGGCUGAAACUUAAAGACAUUGACGGAAGGGCACCACCAGGUACGCAAAUCUUUCACUAACCUAAAUCGUGCUCAUAACUUACCUCAUCUCUUAGGCGUGGAGCCUGCGGCUUAAUUUGACUCAACACCGGGAAACUCACCAGGUCCAGAUUUGAUAAGGAUUGACAGAUUGAGAGCUCUUUCUUGAUUUCAAAGGUGGUGGUGCAUGGCCGUUCUUAGUUGGUGGAGUGAUUUGUCUGCCUAAUCGCGAUAACGAACGAGACCUUAACCUGCUAAAUAGCCCGGUCAGCUUUGGCUGGCCGCUGGCUUCUUAGAGGGACUAUCGGCUCAAGCCGAUGGAAGUUUGAGGCAAUAACAGGUCUGUGAUGCCCUUAGAUGUUCUGGGCCGCACGCGCGCUACACUGACAGAGACAACGAGUUCAUCACCUUGGCCGGAAGGUCUGGGUAAUCUUGUUAAACUCUGUCGUGCUGGGGAUAGAGCAUUGCAAUUAUUGCUCUUCAACGAGGAAUGCCUAGUAAGCGCAAGUCAUCAGCUUGCGUUGAUUACGUCCCUGCCCUUUGGGAGAACAAAACUCGGAAGUUGAUUGUACAAGGGGUACAAAGUAUAGCUAGACGCGAGAGGUUGACGAAGGAUCAAUUCAGCUUGGAUUGAUUUUAUUUCUGCGACUAAUCUUUCGGCGUCGAUGCCUUCAAAACUGCGUGGAAUCUGCCGAUGUAAUCGCUGAUACCCGAGACCAAAUCUUCAACUGAAGAUGCGGUUCACAGGCUAAACGAAGGCAGAUGAAAUCCUCGGAGAUCAUCUGUAAUAUAGUCGAUUCGCCUUGUAACCAAGGCCGAAACAAAUGUUGUACACACCGCCCGUCGCUACUACCGAUUGAAUGGCUCAGUGAGGCCUUCGGACUGGCCCCAGGAGGUCGGCAACGACCACCCAGGGCCGGAAAGUUGGUCAAACUUGGUCAUUUAGAGGAAGUAAAAGUCGUAACAAGGUGCCGCCCGGCUAUUUCAAGAAUAAUUCUUGUAGAAUAAUCUUGUCUUUAGCACGCAGGAAGCCUUGCAGUUAACAGUCUGUUGCUUCUUGCACUCAGGCAACGCUUGAUUGAUGUUGGAAAUUGCUUUACUUGAAGCUCAACCAGCAGCCGUUAUGCUAAUCCGCUAGCAUUCCGGUUCACAGAUCAUCUUCAGGCGGUCCCCUCUCCUUUUGUUGGCCCGUUAAUACUUUUGAAAGGUCGACGGGACACAAUUGGGAUUGAGAUAUGACCGGUCCCGCUUAGAAAUAGGCGGAAUCAUCGUUCCGUAGGUGAAAUAGGUUUGCCUAUGCAUUCCCUACAGCGACUAUAAAUAAUUGUGCUGUCAGCUUGCUGCUGGCCUUACCGUUAAAUUGCUGGGCGUGGAAUGGUUAACACCUUCCUUUCGUCAGCAGCCGAGAACCUUCACCGGUAUCGGUUCACAGAUCACUCAGCGGUAACCCUUUCGCGGUGUUAAGAUAUGAUCGGCUGCAGCCCCCCCGCUUUGGGGCGCGUUUUGCGGAACCUGCGGAAGGAUCAUUA
rnacentral:rRNA from 1 species